CGUCAGGAACCAUGCGAGCGGACGCCGCCCAACCCCGUCAGGUCCGGAAGGAAGCAGCGGUAAGCGGUUGUCCGUUGCGCCGUGGCACCGGGUUUUA
rnacentral:SRP_RNA from 1 species